rnacentral:snRNA from 1 species
AUCGCUUCUCGGCCUUUUGGCUAAGAUCAAGUGUAGUAUAUUUAAUUAAAAUGGAAAACAUUAAGUAAGCACACCCNUC